UCUUGGUGUAUCACUAAAUUGUAAUCAAGAUAUUUUGCCUCAUAUGCAAAUGGUAAACAAUGGAUGAAUACACAUGCAAGAUUGCCAGAGUCACCCUUUAUACACAAUAAUGACUGCAAUAAUGCAAGGGCCGGUGGGGAAGUCAGCAAAACUGUUCAUGCUCGCUAUUUUCACUUUUAUUUUUAUAAUUUAUUCUAUAUAAAUAUGUAUGUUUCAACAUGUAGAGCUCAUAUCCUCUAAAACUCAAACAACUACUCUCUCAUGGUUGGAAAUCAUGGUUGCUGUGGGGAUUAUCACGCUUCCGGGCGGGAUUUGUUUUCAUUUUGCAUUAACACUUCCGGCGCAGUUCAACAAUGGCUGAAACAAAGGCUAGAUGUCACUGCUCUGUUCCACUUUGUACAUCUAACAAACAACGCCAACCCUACUUAAGUUUUCAUGGAUUCCCGACUGAAUUGACUCUAAGGAAGAAGUGGAUUCAAGCGGUUUGCCGGGAUGAAGGGCCAAACUUUAAAAUCAAACAAGGUAGCACGUUUGUUUGUAGCCGGCACUUUAGUGAAUCAGACUACACUAACGCUACAGCUAGCAGGCUAGCAACCAACCGGGGUCACAUCCAGCGACUCUAAAUCGGGUCUGUACCCUCCCGUUUCCAGUGGAACAACUGGGGACUGCCAAGAAGGGAGUCCGUUUAUAAAAGAGCAUCAACUCGCUUAGGCCAUGACGUUCACCCAGCCCUUCCUCUGGAGCAACCGCUGCCGUGUGAAUAAGAGCCGACGGAGGAGAUCGCAGCUUCGGUGGUGAUGACAGAACAUGAUUUCGGUUCUGCUCCUAAAGCAGGCCUGCAAGAGAAGGUGCUGGCUGACAUGUUUCAGGUCAGUGUUUCCACUGUCUCCCGUGUUGUUAUAAUGUGGGCCAACUACCGUUACCUGCUCCUUGUCGAGAACACCAUGCCAAGCAAAUUUGUGCAGUACAGUCGAGAUGUUCGGGUAAUCAUCGACUGCACCGAGGUGCGAUGCCAGAAUCCAUCAUCCCUCACCCUCCAGUCUGAGGUUUUUCUCAUUUUACAAGAACACGACAACCUUAAAGGCCUUGAUUGGGAUUGCCCCUUGUAGUGCUGUGACUUUUGGUUCAAGUCUCUUCACCGGCUCCAUCUCUGACCGAGAGCUGACUGAACGAAGUGGACUGCUGGAUUUACUGGAGCCAGGAGAUGGCUGCAUGGCAGACAAGGGUUUCACCAUCGAGAAGCCACUAGCUGAUCGUGGGGCAACGCUGAUUAUACCACCCUUCAAGAUGACAGUUCAUCAAAGAGGAUUCUCUGAAAACACAAGCAAUCGACCCGACUUCGAAUCCUCGUGGAAAGAGCAAUACGCAGAGUCGAGGAAUACCGCAUCUGGGAACGCACUGUCCUCUCACCUUGUCUGGGACAGUCAACCAGCUGUGGACCGUCUGCUGUGUGAUGACCAACUUCCAGGGACCACUUGAUUUAAAAGGCUACAUCCCUGUGGAAUAGUGUUUCUAGUCAAACAUAUACCUAUAAAUAUAAUAUAUAAAUAUUAAAAUGAGAGACAAUGAACAUUUGGAGUGGUCCCUUCAUUUUUUCGGAGCUGUAAUUCUUUAUACUGAAAACAGUGUAUAUAUUGAAUGACAUGUAUAUAAUUGAAUGAGAAGUCUUUCAUCUAUAAUCAAUUUUAAAGUCAAGUCAGUCCAUCCUGAAAGUAUUCAAAAUAAUGUUAAUAUGUAAUGUAGUAAAUGAUGUACUCAGUUCCUUUAUUCAUUGUUUCAGUUCCUUUAUUAAUUCAGUUCAUUUCACAUUCAUUUCGAUUUCUGCUGAAGUUACACAUUCGUAUGUACCAAAGAAGUGCAAGUCUAACUUAUUUUUAAUCUCACAUUUCAUCAUCCCUCCAGACUGAGCUGACGCCCAACUGACGUUAGCAUAAGCCAACCUACCUAGCGUAAGCUAGCUAGCAGACACUCACCUUCGUAGUCGAUAAAUUACUCGAAAAAUAAACUAUCCCUUGUCCAGUUUGGAGCGGGCUGUUAUGGAGUGUUGUUCGGUAAGUCUGAACGUCAAAAAACGUGACUUUGGGUACAUUUACCAGGGAUGUCUUGAAAGUGAACUGCCGGUCCUCCAUCAUCGGUUCGCCAGAGUGAUGAGUGAUUCACCGGAUGUCACAGUGCACAAAGAUCACCGAAUGAGGACCGUGGUGAAGUUAGUAUGAUGUUGGAUAUUCGACAUAUUCGGCCAUUCAUUUCCUAUGGAAAAUUGCUUUUUGCUCAAUAGCUUCCCAGGUAUUGGACCCAGACACCCCAGACCAAUGUAGACCUGUCCUACUAUGUGGUACUAACAACACACACCUCAAUAAAAAUUAAUAUUUUGCACCU
ensembl:lncRNA